UUGGUACAGGCACUGUGGAAAGCAGUAUGGAGGUUCCUCAAAAAACUAAAACUAGAGUUGCCAUAUGAUCCAGCAAUACCACUCCUGGACAUAUAUCUGGACAAAACUAUAAUUCAAAAAAAAUGAAAUAGAGUUCAUAGUGGCACUAUUCACAAUAGCCAAGACACAGAAGCAACAUUACUGUCCACUGACAGAUGAACGACUGAGCCACUGAACUGAACUGAACUGACAGAUGAAUGGAUAAAGAAGAUGUGGUACAUACAUACAAUGAAAUAUUAGUCAUAAAAAGAACAAAAUAAUGCCAUUUACAGCAUCAUGCAUGGACCAAGAGAUUGUCAAACUAACUGAAAUCAGAAAGAAGAAGACAAAUAUUAUAUGAUAUCAUUCAUAUGUGGAAUCUAAAAAAAUAAUACAAAUGAAUCUGUCUACAAAACAGAAACAGACUCACAGACAUAUAGAACAGAGUUGUGGUUCCUGGAGAAGGAGGCAGAGGAGGGAUGGAUUGAGAGUUUGGGGUAAACAGAUACAAACUAUUACAUAUAGAGUUGAUAAACAACAAGGGGACUAUAUUCAAUAUCCUAUGUAAACCAUAAUUGAAAAAAUAUAAAAAAGAAUACUUAUGCAUAUUUAUAUAUGUAUGUAUAACUAAAUCACUUUGAUGUACAGCAGAAAUUAAUACAACAUUGUAAAUCAACUAUGCAAUUUAAAAAAAAAGCAGGAUGACAUAUCCUUUUUAACACUCCAUAACACCAUGCACAAAAAUAAAAUCAAAAUGGAUUAAGCCUGGGGGCACUCUCCGCCCUCCUUCUGAUGUCUAUGUCAGAAGCGUUCUCUGUCCCUUUUCAUACUUUAAUAAAACUCUGCUAAACACACACACACAAACACAAGGAUUAAGCCUGAAUUUAAGGCCAGACACUAUAAAAUUCUUAGAAGAAAAUAUAGGCAGAACACUCUUUGACAUAAAUUUGAGCAAGAUCUUUCUUGACCCAUCUCCUAGUGUAAUGAAAAUAAAAACAAAUGGGGCCUACUUAAACUUAAAAGCUCUUGCACAGCAAAUAAAACCAUAGACAACACAAAAAGACAACCAUUGGAAUGGGAGAAAAUAUCUGCAAAGAAACUGACAAAGGAUUAAUAUCCAAAAUAUACAAGUAGCUCAAUAUCAAGAUAACAAACCCAAUCAAAAACAAACAACAAAAAAAUAAAAACAGUGGAAGACCUAAAUAGACAAUUCUCCAAAGACAUACAGAUGGUCAACAAACACAUGAAAUGGUACUCAACAUCACUAGUUAUUAGAGAAAUGUGAAUCAAAACUACAGUGAGGAGGAGGAGCUAAGAUGGUGAAGGAGUAGGACGGGGAGAACAUUUUCUCCCCCACAAAUUCAUCAAAAGAACAUUUAAACGCCAAGUAAAUUCCAUAAAACAACUUCUGAAUGCCGGCAGAGGACAUCAGGCACCCAGAAAAGCACCUAAGUCUUCGAAAGGAGGUAGGAAAUAAUAUAAGAGACAAAAGAGGGAGGGAUGGAAUUCCGUCCCAGGAAGGGAGUCUUAAAAAGAGAGAAGUUUCCAAACACCAGGAAACCUUCUCACUGCCGAAUCUGUGCCGAGCCUUGGAAGCACAGAGGGCAACAUAACAGGGAGGAACAAUAAAUAAACAAUUAAAACCCGCAGAUUGUGAGCCCUACGGUAACUCCCCCAGCAGAGAAGCAGCGCAGACGCCUGCACACGCCAUUGGCAAGCGGGGGCUGGGCAGGGAGGUGCGGCGCGGGCUGCAUCACUUAGGGUAAGGUUCUGGCCUGAAUACCAUGAGCGCUAUCUGAACGAAAUAAUUUGGGCUAGCAAACCAGACUGUGGGAUAUCUACCACGCAAAAAGCCAGCCCUAACCUAAGACACCGCCAGGCCCGCGCACAGCACAAAGGACUGA
ensembl:lncRNA